rfam:Trichobilharzia regenti genome assembly, scaffold: TRE_scaffold0021277
CUCAGCUGACGAGUCCCAAAUAGGACGAAAUGCGCAUCCUGGAU